rnacentral:rRNA from 1 species
AUUGAACGCUGGCGGCAGGCCUAACACAUGCAAGUCGAGCGAGCGGCGGACGGGUGAGUAAUGUCUGGGAAACUGCCUGCUGGGGGGGGAUAACUACUGGAAACGGUAUCUAAUCCCGCAUACCAUCAGAUGUGCCCAGAUGGGAUUAGCUAGUAGGUGGGGUAAUGGCUCACCUAGGCGACGAUCCCUAGCUGGUCUGAGAGGAUGACCAGCCACACGGGAACUGAGACACGGUCCAGACUCCGACGGGAGGCAGCAGGGGGGAAUAUUGCACAAUGGGCGCAAGCCUGAUACAGCCAUGCCGCGUGUAUGAAGAAGGCCUUCGGGUUGUAAAGUACUUUCAGCGGGGAGGCGUUACCCGCAGAAGAAGCACCGGCUAACUCCGUGCCAGCAGCCGCGGUAAUAC